rnacentral:tRNA from 1 species
GCCGGGAUGGCGGAAUGGUAGACGCAACGGACUUAAAAUCCGUUGGGGCAUUUGCCCCGUGUGGGUUCGAGUCCCACUCCCGGUA